UGGGGAAUAUUGGACAAUGGGGGAAACCCUGAUCCAGCAAUGCCGCGUGAAUGAAGAAGGCCUUCGGGUUGUAAAGUUCUUUCGCCUGUGAAGAUAAUGACGGUAGCAGGAAAAGAAGUCCCGGCUAACUCCGUGCCAGCAGCCGCGGUAAGACGGAGGGGACUAGCGUUGUUCGGAAUGACUGGGCGUAAAGGGUGCGUAGGCGGUUCCUUAAGUAAGGCGUGAAAGCCCUGGGCUUAACCCAGGAAGUGCGCUUUAAACUGAGGAGCUAGAGUGUGAGAGAGGAAAGUAGAAUUCCUAGUGUAGAGGUGAAAUUCGCAGAGAUUAGGAAGAAUACCAGAGGCGAAGGCGGCUUUCUGGCUCACAACUGACGCUGAGGCACGAAAGCGUGGGGAGCAAACAGG
rnacentral:rRNA from 1 species